UUCCUUCGGAGCCGGAGCGGGCGGCUGUCCUCCGGCUCCACAUGGUACAGGGUUGAAUUGCGGAUGGGCCUUCCCACGCACAUCAGCUUACCUGGCUGCCUGCCUUCUUGGACGCCAACACCUGAAAGCAGAAGCAACUGAGACCAUAGAACUUCAUCAUAAUCUCAGGUGUAUAUGUCUGUGUAUAUAUUGCGAAAUCGUCACUCGAGGUGCUCUCCGAAACACAGGUCAACUUUGCCCUAACCUGGCCACAGAUUGAACCCAGCUCCACGGCCAGCUCCUACCACACCCUCCAUCUCCGGAAUGUCUCCUUCCCAAGAGAGAUUGAGAAAGCAUGUGGGGGACUUGGUGUCAUUGUGCUGGUGGCCUGUCCAGAGAGGUGCAAAGUGAGGCCAGACUAUGCAACUUCCUUGUGGAAAUAAACAAAGACCACCCAGAUGAAGACAAAGACGUUCUCCAUUCAGAGCUCGCUACAGCAAGAGAGGGAGCGACUCUCACUUGUGUUUGGCAGAGACUCCCAGACAGACCAAGGACUGAGGGGAGCCCCAGAGUGGCCAAAAGGGAAGGCUCAGAUACGCUCUUCUCACUGGAGGGGAAUCUCGGUCACCGUUCGGAGGGCAGCGCUGUGCUAAGGACUGCUGCACAGCCCCGUCGACCCACACCCGCACGGCCCCUCCUUUGACCUGUUAGCCCUGCUCUUAGUUCUGCUUCGAAGCGAAGUUACAAGAACCUCGAGAUCAGCCGCACGCUGAAUGUCUCUGGACACGCCUUCUGUGGGCUCUGCAGACCCCGUGUCUGAAGGCUCCUUUGGAGCCGAGGAAGGCUGCUCUGCUCCCCAUCCCCCUAUAGAACCCGCACGCCCCCUCCCC